GCCUUCGUGGUGUAACAUUCAGCACACUCGACUCGUAUUCGAGAGGUCCGAGGUUAGAGUCCCGACGAGAGCA
rnacentral:tRNA from 1 species